UUUUAUCUAUCGUUCACCUUCCAAGUUACUUCAAAGAGGAGAUCUACAGAAUCACUUUGGUCUUAUUGAAGUUGGGAUCUUCCGGUUCAUCUCCCGUCGAGGCUGAAUGAGACAGACACUGCUUCUGAGGCACUUGUGUUUCUGGUGGUUGGGCUUCAGGAAAGCUCCAAUUGCUUAUUAUUUGAUCAAGUCUCUCACACCAGACACACAGAGUGUUAGUGGAACAUGCCCUAGAAGAGCUACAUCAUGGGCAGAUCAGGGUGGUGUGCCUCACAAUGGAUCCAACAUCAGCAUGAGCACUGAGUCGGUACCCCUCUGAGGCCCUGAAGACCCACUGCCUACAUCCAGUCAGCAGCGGCAGAGUUUUUGUCAUGCUGGACGCCUGCCAUAUGCUGAAGCUGACACAGGCAUGAAGUCCCAUUCAAAGUGCAUCUGGCCUCAUCAGUGGGAAUUACGUCGUUCAGCUGAACAAUGUCCAGAAGGAAAGUGAACUUCAUGCUGCCAGCCCAGUCACCGAUAAGCAUGUGAGCUCUGCUAAUCAGAAGAUGAAGGUCUCCCUGGCUGCUCAGACUCUGUGACUCUGUGGCUGUGGCAGUCCAGACUGAAGGACGUGGGCUGUGCAGAGUUUAUCCAGAGGUGGCUGGAAGAACAACCCCAGUGCCCGCCGGUUCAAAUCCAGAUGUAGGGAGCUGAUGGCCCGGUGUGGAGUUACACCACAGGAUGGCACAGAGUCCCUAACAGCAAGCACGGAGGCCAGCCCGGCAGCUGUGGACAUGUCCUCUGCAGCAGGAGAAGAACAUCUUCCAUCAGGAAUAUCAUCCGGGCUGUGAAGACGCUGCCUGUGACGUCUGCCGCGCCGUGUGACGCUGCAUCCGCCCCAAAAGACGGGAGCUAAAAUAAAACUGUGCUGUUCAAAGGGCAUUAGCCUUCCACCCAUCCUGAAAUGUGGCUAUCCUGUGGUCGUCCAUUAUGUCAAUAACUUUGUGUUAUUAGUUUUAUUGUGGAGAAGAAAAUAUUUUCUCUUGUUCCUGGUUUAUUCCUGUUCUUGAUACAUCCUCAAGGGUGUUCUGGAGUUUUGUCUUGUCAGAUGUGAGGGUCUAAGGCGGUGGUUGCUUAGUUUUGUCCCGUUACUGUGAACUGUUCAUGUUAACAUGUUUCUUCACCUUUUUGUCAUCUGAUGUCAACGUUGUCACUUAGUUCUGUCAUUGAUGAGCUGUUACGGACUGUUCAUCAUCUAGACACUGUGUGUUGGUCUGAUAUCAACAUUCUCACACAGUUCUGUCUCUGAUGUUCAUGUGGACAUUACACCGUGGUUCAUUGUUUAAUAUCAAAGUCAUCAAACUCUGAAAUGUUACGAACCAAUGGAACAUUAAGCACUGAAGGCGGUUGCUGUUGUGACUCUGGGUUAUAUAAAAAUUGAUUGAUCAAGAGAUUCACUCAGUUGCCUUUUAUUCGUUUACUUAAUUAUAUUGUGACUGUAAUUCUAUUUGACUUGAGACUUUCUGAGCUGCUUUUAUAAAAUUUCUACAAUGCCUAAUUCAGUUUUUUUUUUCUUUCUCGUACCGAAGUCAACGUGAAGAACAAACAUGCAUCACCAGUCGAGAUUAAAAAAACAUUUGAUGAAUGAAUUAAAUCUAAAGGCAGUAAAAAAAAGAAAGCGGUGACAGUCACGUAUUUCGGUGUUUUGUCAUGCGCUAUGCCACACACUGUAUUUCUCACGCUGAAAAAAAAAAUACCGGUAAAUCUGUCAGGUGCAGCGCUGCUAUGGAACUGGGAGGACUCAAACACGUCUGCAAGCCUCUCACUGACCUAUCAAUCAAAAAAGGAGGGGGGGGGGGCAAUCAUUCAUCAUCAUCCAUCAUCCAUUCAGCUCUGUGA